rnacentral:rRNA from 1 species
UACGUAGGGUGCAAGCGUUGUCCGGAAUUAUUGGGCGUAAAGAGCUCGUAGGCGGCUUGUCGCGUCGGCUGUGAAAACCCGGGGCUCAACCCCGGGCCUGCAGUCGAUACGGGCAGGCUAGAGUCCGGCAGGGGAGACUGGAAUUCCUGGUGUAGCGGUGAAAUGCGCAGAUAUCAGGAGGAACACCGGUGGCGAAGGCGGGUCUCUGGGCCGAAAUUGACGCUGAGGAGCGAAAGCGUGGGGAGCAAACAGG